ensembl:lncRNA
AUGAACGAGGGUGAACCGGCGGCGAGGACCCGCAGGGGGGACCCCUCCAGUCCCUCGCCGUCCGCCUUCCCCUCGGGCCGCACGCCCCCCUUCCUAUUCCGCUUCACGUGGGGUGUGGGGCAGGACGGAGGGGAGGAAGAGCGAGAAAUGCCCACCUUCUCCGGCCGACUCCGCAGCCGCCCGGGCCCCCUCCUCCCGCCGCGGCGGCCGCUCCGCAGCGAGGCAGCGCCGAGCCACAGGCGCCCUCCCCUCGCCACCCCCAGGCCGCAGCCGCCAGCGAGCCCCGCGCUCAGCGCCGCUCCAACCUCCCCUCCCGGCCCCGCCCGGCCCUCCCCCCGCGCCCCGCAGACCCUUUCAAACCCCCUGGGCUCGCGGCGGCUGCUCGCUGAGGAAACGCUGGCCGCGGCUGGGGCCGGGCCGGCGCGGCUGCGAGCGGGGCGGCGGCGGCGGGGCGCCCGGUACGGUGAGCCCAGCAACCAGGCGCGGGCGGGCGCGCAGAGACGCCGGGUCCUCGCGGAGCACGGCCGGGGCGCGGCGGCGGCGGCAGCGGGAGCCCAGGGACCGCUCCAUCACUGGCAGCCAUGGAGCCCGAGCAUUUUCCUCCCUCGGGGCAGGCGCCUCCGCUCGGCACGCGUCCUCGGGGAGGAAGGGGCCGGCGCCCGAGGCUCCCCGGAGGGCGGCGGGACGUGCGCUGGGGCGGAGGGUGCGACCCUCUCGUGUCCUCUUCCUCCGCAGCCGGCUCGUCCUCGCCCCGCUGCUCCCACGGCCGGGCGGGAGGGGGCCGCGGGCGGCGGCGGCUCCUUUCUCGGCGGCGUUGGUGGCCAGACGGGCUGGUGCAGCGACUGCAGCCGACGCCGUUCAAAGGAACGAGAGCCACAGCAUCACGAGUUUCAGUUCCCAGGAGCCCGCUGCUGCCACGACAUGAGUCAGGCUUUCUUCCCCGGCGCGCGGCGGAAACCUCCGCCCCCUUGCCGCACCUGGGCUCGCCCCCGGCCCUCGCGUCUUCGGGGGAUGCCCUAGCGCCGGGAGCUGCGCCGUCCACGGAAGGCCGGUGGCUGCCGGUGAUAGGUGUUGUCUUUUGUGCAGUGCAGUUGCUGCCAUGCGGGCCCCUCGCCCUUCCACGGGCAGGGGCGAGGCGGCCGGGCAGAUGUUGCAGCUGUUUCCAGUUAACUCAGCUCCUCUGGGGUAGGCUGUAAUGUAACGAGGAGUGGUUGCAAUCCAUCCUUACCUAGAGGACAGAAGCAGGGCCAGCCCAGUACACCAUUGACCUCAACAGGUGUCUCCAAGCAGCGACGCCUUUCUCGUUCGUUCAUUGUCCUGGUUAUAUCCCCCAUUGGUUUGACUCAAGAGGCAAGGUGGCCCGGACAUGUGGGCAACAAAUGAUAAAUGAAGGAUGGCUUUUAGGGCUGGAAAAGAAAAAGCCGUCUGAAAUUCCAGUUCUAAAACACACACACAUUCCAUUCCAUGGGUCCGAGUGUAGUCCUACAGAAGCAAUGUGAGGUUUCACUGGGGGCAGUUUACUGGCAGCUACUUUCUUGGCCUUUGAUGUCAAGACCUAGUCCUAAGCAUUUCUCACCAAUCGAGAAUGUACGUCUCUCCCAGGAAUUUAAAAAUGAUAAAGCAACCCGAAAAAUUAUAGGGAGGAAUUUUCAUUUUACUAAAUUUGGGUUGUUGGGGGAAUCAACGCUUAUGAUUAGACCUCUGAUUCAGGAAAUCUCACCGAUUUACAUUCCUAUUUCAGGAUAUUGUUAAAGCAAAAACGACUGUCAUUUGCAGAGUUUUGAUACACCUCUAGUUGUCAGUUCAACUUUCUACCUUUUGUUUUUUCUGAACUCUUCCCAUUGCUUUAAGGAUAAAGCCUGCGGGGCGCGGUGGCUCACGCCUGUAAUCCCAGCACUUUGGGAGGCCGAGGCGGGUGGAUCACGAGGUCAAGAGAUCGAGACCAUCCCGGUCAACAUGGUGAAACCCCGUCUCUACUAAAAAUACAAAAAAUUAGCUGGGCAUGGUGGUGCGUGCCUGUAAUCCCAGCUACUCAGGAGGCUGAGGCAGGAGAAUUGCCUGAACCCAGGAGGCGGAGGUUGCGGUGAGCCGAGAUCGCGCCAUUGCACUCCAGCCUGGGUAACAAGAGCGAAACUCCGUCUCAAAGAAAAAAAAAAAAAAAAAAAAAAAAGGAUAAACCUUCAAAAAGUGAAUAUAUUUCACCGUUUGCAUGUUACUGAAUAGAAGUGCAGGCUCGACAUCCGGUCUAUCGGGUAUCAAAGCUAUGAUACAUUGUUGCUUUACCUGGGGUCUCCCUCACUGAAAAGAAAAACGAGGACUUUAUAUUUUUUACUUUAAAUCGCUAAUAACAAGCUCUGUUAGAAGUAAAUAGGCUCUCAAAAAUACUCAAAGUGGUACAAUAAUAAAAGUCAAAUGUUUGAGAAGAUCGGAGGAAGGAUUGGGGUGUUAUUCCUUUUAAAAGAAAGUUUUUUAAAAAAAAAUUCCAGGAUUAACAUAAGACAUAAGAAAAUAAGCUCUUUUGAAGUGUAUUAAUUUUUGCCUGCCAUAUCACUUUCAAACUCCUGCAUAGGCUGCAUCAAGUCCCACUAAGAUAUAAAGAGCAACAACUCUACAAUUAGGGAAAUCCACGUUUCAAACAUCUGGAUCUCUCUUUCCCCAUUCAAAAUUCUUAUGACCAGCAAUAUACAAACACAAAUUCAUUAAAACAAGGAGAAGGCACCUGAACAGCCAGAUUUUGUUCUGCUAUCAUCUUUUAAUUAAAAAGGUCUGAAUUUGUAUUAAACACUAAAUGCCUACUGCUGUGUGUAAUAAAGUCAUCACAUCCUUUUAACCAAGUGCUUAGAGCUAUCCUUUGCCUUUCAAAAGACCGAAUUUUAGCUGUUUUCAUUCUGAAGGUGUACUUCUGAAUUACCUUUCUUUUUUUAUUUUUCAUUGAAACAGUCUUGCUCUGUCACCCAGUCUGGAGUGCAAUGGCAAAACCUCAGCUCGCUGCAACCUUCUGCCUCAGCCUCUCGAGUAGCUGGGACUACAGGCGCGCACCACCAUGCCCAGCUAAUUUUUGUAUUUUUAGUAGAGACGGGGUUUCACCAUGUUGACCAGGAUGGUCUCGAUCUCUUGACCUCGUGAUCCACCCGCCUCGGCCUCCCAAAGUGCUGGGAUUAUAGGCGUGAGCCACCGUGCCUGGCCUCUGAAUUAAUUUUCUACUGACUCAAAGAUUAGCCUAUAUUGCAGUGGCACUUAAAUCCAGUUGCAACAUUACAAACCAGUCUUUUUUUUUUUUUUUUUUGAGACGGAGUUUUACUCUUGUUACCCAGGCUGGAGUGCAAUGACGCAAUCUGGGCUCACCGCAACCUCCGCCUCCUGGAUUCAGGCAAUUCUCAGCCUCCGGAGUAGCUGGGAUUACAGGCACCCGCCACCAUGUCCAGCUAAUUUUUUGUAUUUUUAGUAGAGACGGGGUUUCACCAUGUUGACCAGGAUGGUCUCGAUCUCUUGACCUCGUGAUCCACCCGCCUCGGCCUCCCAAAGUGCUGGGAUUACAGGCUUGAGCCACCGCACCCGGCCACAAACCAGCCUUAUAUAUAUUUCACCAUGUUUAGUAUUUACUGUACUGUAAAAAUUACAAAAUUUUUUUUUUUGUAAUUUUUUUUUGUAAUUUCCCAAAGUAAUCCCAGCCCUUUGGGAGGCCGAGGUUGGUGAAUCACCUGAGGUCAGGAGUUUGAGACCAGCCUGGCCAACAUGGUGAAAUGCCCUCUCCACCAAAAAUACAAAAAUUAUCUGGUGCUGUGGUAUGCACCUGUAAACCCAGCUAUUUGGGAGACUGAGGCAGGUAAAUUGCUUACCCCAGAAAGUAGAGGUUGCAAUCAGCUCAGAUCCCGCCAUUGUACUCCAGCCUGGGUGACAGAGUGAGACUCCAUCUCAAAGAAAAAAAGAAAAUUUGCUGAACGUUAUAACACAAUUUAUCUAUUUGUGAGUACUGCAAAACGGGUCAAUUAAAAUCAAGUAAUUCUCUAAAAGCAAUGCCCCUGAGGAGCCGGAAGGGAAUACCUACACUCCAAAUGGCUGAGCUACAACAAUAGAUACGGUUAAAGAGAAAUGUAUACAGAAAAUAUGCCACUGUUCCACUCCAGUAAUUAUUCUGGCUAACCAGUGCUCCCGUCAUGUAAUGUUACUAAUAUUUGCUUAGAGCUUUUAGAUGUCAUCCGGGGGGAAUAAAAGUCAAAUGUUUAAAUAUGCCUUACAAACUCAAAAAAUCACAGAUUUUUACAUAUGAAGACUCUAAUGCAAGGGGAUAUUGCAGUAUGUUUACUAAUCAGUUUGCUCUCUGAAAAAGUUUUAAUGAGACCAGGAGUGUGCCAUCACUAUUGGUAUCACAAAAUGUUUAUUUCAAAACUUUAAUGCCAAUUUUAGUGAGUCAGUUUAGCUUAUAACUGAUUAAUUUCAGCAGCAUUUGUUAAGUUUUUCAAUAGUAUAUUUCAGUUGAGCGAAAUCAGUUUUAUAUCCUCAAAGGAGAUAAUGCUUAUGCCACAGGAAAGUAUAGUUAUUUGAAUGUAUGGUUCAGAUUUGCUCAUUUCAUUCCCCCUUUGAAGGAGAAGGCGUUCUCAUUCUCAUUUGAGAAAUGAGUAAU